AAUAGUACCCAAAUACUAGCACUUACUUUGUAGUGGCCAAAGUAUCUAUCCUAAACAUUGGAUCGUCUUUCGGCACGUGCUGGGGCCCGAUUCUCCUAAUUUUACUUAAGUGACAUACGAUUCACAUUCGAUUGAGAUCCAAUCACGACUCAAUUGCGAUUGAAGCGUAUGUGGCAUUCCGCAAUUUUUUCUUUGAAAUAAGCGUUUUUAUCCUUUUCUGUCAUUUAAUAAUGAAUCAUUUUGUCUGCAAAUGAUUUACGAUUGCAAUAUGUGUUGAAGCGCCUAGCCGUUGCUUCAUAGCAACACGUUUCCGACGGCCUAAUGAAGUUAAUUUUUAAGCAGGCGCAUUAAUGCACCGUUGUCGUCACUUGCUUGUCAUGCAUUGUACUGUGUGCACCAAAAUUAUAUUUCUCCGUUGUUUGAGUAUUUCUACAGUUCUUUUAUUCCUGCAAGACCUCGUAAUCCUCAACAUGGCCCAUUACGAGCAGGAUAUAUGAAGAUCAGCGCUUAAAAUUGAAGGAAGAAAUAAUUAAGGAUCGUCAAUUAGCCGGGCGUGACAAUUAGCCGGCGUGACUUGCAGGUUUUGUGCAGGACAAUUAUUUGGACUGAUCUCAAGCAAUUUAAUUGCGGUGUAUUGCGUUUAUUAUUAUUAAUAUCAUCACCCAACACUCAGGUAAUAUAAAUAUAAGUAAAUCGUCAUGAAAUAUCACAGGUUGAAUACACUUGUCUCCCAGCAUGUCCGAGGAAAGGGAAUUAGUCAAGAAGUGAGGAAGCUUCAAAGGUCGAUUGACUGCUUUCGUUAACUUUCUGGAUUCACUCAAGGACAGAACCCUAACCAGUUGUGACACGGCUGAGCUGCAGCUGCGCAUAGGCAAGAUGGAGUCGUUGUAUGAGCAGUAUGAUGAGGUACAGUUACGUCUGGAAUGCAUUGUCGAGGACAUUAAAUUACAAUUUUCCGAACGUGCUGAUUUUGAGUCUCUUUAUUAUAAAUCCUUGUCUAGGACACAGAAUAUUAUCAGUGAAUAUAAUAAAGAUAAUGGAUCGAUGGAAAGCUGUAAAAGUACUCACACUAAUGUGCAUAAGCCAGUUAAGUUGCCAACAAUUCAGUUACCUAAGUUCAGCGGUUUAUAUACGAAUUGGCUGGAAUUCCGUGACACCUUUAGUAGUCUUGUACAUUGCAAUGAUAGCAUUGACGAUAUUAAUAAAUUCCACUACUUGAGAGCAUCUAUUGAAGGGUCGGCUGCGGUCAUAAAGUAAAUAACCACUAGAGAGCGCACUCGCCAAUUUCUUCUAAGAACACGACUCACCGCUGCGGGCGGGGGGACGCGACAUAAUCCGCGGCUACUAUUGGUCAGUUCAAGGUGGCUACUAAAGGAUCGUACUGAUCGUAGCCUUAUAGUACGCGCAAAAUCACUAACUUUUGGCGAGCGUCGGGGCACUGUAUGCGCAGUCAAGUGGUUUUAUAGUCUUUGGCUGCGGUAGUUAUUAAUUCUAUUGAAUGUUCCUCGAGUAAUUAUUCUGUGGCAUGGCAGUUGUUAUGUGAUCGGUUUGAUAACAGAAGAUUACUCAUACAAAAUCAUGUUUCUGCUUUAUUUAAUGUUGAAAGUAUCACAAAGGAGUCUUCUGUUGUAUUAAAGUCUUUAAUUGAUUUAAUAAAUAAAAACUUGCGAGCAUUAGAGUCGUUAGGUGAGCCUGUUAAGCAGUGGGACACGUUAUUGAUUUAUAUUGUGACUCGCAAGCUUGAUCAAAUGACCUAUCGCGAGUGGGAAGAGUGCAAAGGCAGGUUAGAUAAGGACAGCCCUAUAACGUUCGACGACUUCAUGAAAUUUCUGCGUAAUCGAGCUGAUCUUAUUGAAACCUUAGAAUUAUCGCGCAAUAAUUGUUCCCAAACAUCUAAUAAAUCAUGUCCUAAGAUAAAAUCUAUGGUAGCUACACAGUCUCUUAAUCUUUGACCCUUUAGGUCUAUUAGGCCCUAUUGUCUCCAUGAAAAUGCUGUUACAAAUUAUGUGUUAAGAUUUAUAAAGUCAUACCAGAAGCAGUAUCCUAAAACUAAUUAUUAGAAUUUUAUAUAAUAAAAAACAUCCUUGUCUAUUACAGUCCACUCAUCAAUUUACCAAAUUAUUAUUUUAUUUUGAGCAUAAAAGGCUUUUGCACGCUGGCCCGCAAUUAUUAUUAGCAUCGAUAAGGGAAUCUUAUUGGCCGAUAGGAGGCCGCAACUUGGCGAAGGCUUGUUAUUAUAAGUGCGUUCUGUGUCGGCGCAUGAAGUGUAAGCUUGUAACACCUAUUAUGGGUAACUUACCGCAAGAACGGCUUCGUCCAGGUUAUCCCUUCGAGAGUACAGGCGUUGAUUACGCCGGCCCUAUCUUGUGUGCCAGUCGUCAAGGCCGUGGAUGCAGGCUGGUAAAGGUGUACAUUGCCAUUUUUAUAUGCUUCACCACUAAAGCUAUUCAUUUGGCACUUGUUGGCGACUUAACGGGUAAAAGUUACUUACUGGCUUUGCAUCGAUUUAUUGCUCGUCGAGGAAAACCCGUUGAUAUCUUUCCGACAGCGGUACCUCAUUUGUCGGUGCAUCCAACGAACUAUCCAAGUUUUUAAAAUCGACUAGUUCGUCAUUGAGUGAAGAUGCAGCGAAAGAUGGUAUCAGGUUCCAUUUUAUACCCGCGCAUACCCCACAUUUCGGAGGACUCUGGGAGGCAGGUGUAAAGUCAACAAAGUACCACCUUAAUCGAGUGUUGGGAAAUUGUAAUUUGACGUUUGAAGAGCUUUACACCGCAUUAACUAAAAUUGAACCCGUCCUGAAUUCUCGUCCACUGACGCCGUUAUCUUCAGAUCCUGCUGAUUACAGUCCGCUCACGCCAGGACAUUUUCUUGUUGGGCGACCUCUGACUUUCAUAAAGCAACCUGACUUCAGCGAUUACUCUGCCAACCGCCUAUCUCGCUUUCAACGGAUUGAGCAGCUGCGUCAGCAUUUCUGGCACAGAUGGAGCAGAGAGUACGUUGCAGAGUUACAGCUGCGGACCAAGUGGCGUUCCUCGAAGGAUGCAUUACGGGUGAACACAUUGGUCGUGAUAAAGGAAGAUAACCUUCCUCCCUUGAAGUGGAGCUUGGGACGGCCGUCUACCCAGGGAAGGAUGGCAUCGCUCGAGUAGCCGACAUACAGACAUCCUGAUGUCUCCUACAUGUGAGACGCGCAUUUAACAGGAUCUGUCCGCAGCCGGUGUCCUCGGAUUAAUUUGGUUGAAACCGUUGCUUUCAACGCCCGGGGGCAUGUUGAAGCGCCUAGCCGUUGCUUCAUAGCAACACGUUUCCGACGGCCUAAUGAAGUUAAUUUUUAAGCAGGCGCAUUAAUGCACCGUUGUCGUCACUUGCUUGUCAUGCAUUGUACUGUGAACACCAAAAUUAUAUUUCUCCGUUGUUUGAGUAUUUC